AUUGGGUAGGGGAGCGUUCUGUAAGCGGUUGAAGGUGUGUGGUAACGCAUGCUGGACGUAUCAGAAGUGCGAAUGCUGACAUGAGUAACGAUAAAGGGGGUGAAAAACCUCCUCGCCGGAAGACCAAGGGUUCCUGUCCAACGUUAAUCGGGGCAGGGUAAGUCGACCCCUAAGGCGAGGCCGAAAGGCGUAGUCGAUGGGAAACGGGUUAAUAUUCCCGUACUUCUUACAAUUGCGAUGGGGGGACGGAGAAGGCUAGGUGGGCCUGGCGACGGUUGUCCAGGUUCAAGUGCGUAGGCUUAAGAGUUAGGUAAAUCCGGCUCUUUUUAAGGCUGAGACACGACGUCGAGCACCUACGGGUGUUAGGUAAAUCCGGCUCUUUCUAAGGCUGAGACACGACGUCGAGCUACUACGGUAGUGAAGUCAUUGAUGCCAUGCUUCCAGGAAAAGCCUCUAAGCUUCAGAUUGUAAGGAAUCGUACCCCAAACCGACACAGGUGGUCGGGUAGAGAAUACCAAGGCGCUUGAGAGAACUCGGGUGAAGGAACUAGGCAAAAUGGUACCGUAACUUCGGGAGAAGGUACGCUCUUGAUGGUGAAGUCCCUCGCGGAUGGAGCUGACGAGAGUCGCAGAUACCAGGUGGCUGCAACUGUUUAUUAAAAACACAGCACUGUGCAAAAUCGUAAGAUGACGUAUACGGUGUGACGCCUGCCCGGUGCCGGAAGGUUAAUUGAUGGGGUUAGACUUCGGUCGAAGCUCUUGAUCGAAGCCCCGGUAAACGGCGGCCGUAACUAUAACGGUCCUAAGGUAGCGAAAUUCCUUGUCGGGUAAGUUCCGACCUGCACGAAUGGCGUAAUGAUGGCCACGCUGUCUCCACCCGAGACUCAGUGAAAUUGAAAUCGCUGUGAAGAUGCAGUGUACCCGCGGCUAGACGGAAAGACCCCGUGA
rnacentral:rRNA from 1 species